CCACGGCGGCUCCACCCCGACGCGGCGUCCCCGCCCCCACGCCGCCGGCCACCCCGACGCGCCGGCCCCGGCGCAUCAGCCGCCCCUCCGCCAUGGCACCCCCACCCCGACGCGCAGCAGUGGCCACUCCACCUAGGACCACUGCUUUUUUGCCCUAUCUUCUAAUUUGGCGGAUAAUCACUACGGAGGUCCAAGCAUGCCGGCGCCGCUGCUGCGAGGGACGCUCCUGCGCUCCAUCGGCAACGGCGGCGAGGUGGCCCCUACCGUCCUCCUGCACGGCGUCUGCGCCGUCGCGGGAGCAAGGGCGGCGGCAGGCGGCCGGGAACCGGGAUCUAUGCUCCUGCACUCCGUCGGCGACGGCGGCGAGGUGGCCCCUGCCGUCCUUUGCACUGCGGACGCACUGUCGCGGGAGCAGGGCUGGUGCGGGCAGCGGUGGGGAGCUCCGGCGGCGGGCUGGUGGCGGCAGUGGUGGCCGGCCAGUGGGGACGAUGGAUUAUUUAUUUUUUUAUGAUUUCUAAAAGUAUUUGCCGAGUGUCGGUUCAACACACAGCAAACUCUUUGUCGAGUGCAUGAAAAAAAGCCCACGGCAAAGCUAGCUUUGCCGGCCGGCGUUUGCCGUGAGCGGUUUGCCGUGUGUGGCACACGGCAAAGCUUUUGCCGUGUGCAUUAUGGGCUUUGCCAUGUGCAUCCGGCACAUGGCAAAUACGCUGAGUCCGGUAGUGAGCGUAGCUCAGCUUAUAAGAUUCCUUGUGGUGGAACCUGCUCUAUUUUAGGAUUUAACCGGUGAUAUUCUUUUAGUGGUAGGCGACAUGCCCGUCGAUAGCGUGGCACCAGUGGUAACUUCGUAAAUCUCAAGGAUCUGCAGGCUCAUUCUAUCGAAGGUGCUCAUAGUGGUUGAAUUGUGUGCAUGUAUUUAUAGAAGUGAGUGUGCGUGCAUUUAUGAGUGUCUUCUUAUGUAUUGUGUUUCGCAAAAAAAAAUAGUUCAUGGUGGAUU